UGAGGAUUGGCUGUGAGCCGUGAUGGAGGACAAGAAUAAGAACUCUAAUGGCCAGUCUUUCUGACUUAACCAGUGGUCACAACAUGGUAUUUUUCCCGUUAAGUUUGACGAUCUCCAACAGGGUAGUUUCCAAAACACCAACAUGA
rnacentral:lncRNA from 1 species